rnacentral:lncRNA from 1 species
GUCAGGGAACAAGGAUGGGGCUGUAGAGCGGAUUGCUUUUUGUACACAAGACCUAGAGGAAAGGUUCCAAAACGGCAGUCAGUCAUCGGUCACAUUGACCUCACCUUCAUUGCCCACCACUCACGUGGAAAACCAAGAACUCUGCUCUGAAUAGGAUUGUGGAAAUUCACACUGCCACCCUCUUCCACCUCUGUCUGGCAUGCUUGUGACCCAACGGGCCUCUCCCCAAGACCCGGACAGCGGCUAGUUUAGGUUGAUUCUCUCAUCUUGGUGUGUAGCUCCAAUGUGACCAAGUUUCAUAACAAAUUGUUCAUAGUUACACCAUAUGGAUUUUCCAGUGUCAUUCUAAAGCCAGGAUGUAGAGUCCCUGCAGUCCAGGGCCACCAGAGGGGUGGCCUCCCCUCCACCUUCAUCAAGGCGAGAACUGGCACUGUAUGCAAUUUAGUACUUCAGAGUAAAAAAAUAAAUAAAGAAAAUAAAAUAAAGAAAAAAAACUGCAUGCCCAAUGUUAUGCAAAGAGAUUCGAGCAUGAAAUAAAUUUUGUAACAUGGUUUCUGUCUAGUCGAAAGCAGAUUUGUUUUUCUGAAGCGAUUGGAGGUUUGCAGAGACCCGCUUCUGCAUCUCGAAUAAAUAUAGUAUUUUCCCAACAGAAACAGAGGACAGUAGCUUGGCUUUGGUCUGAUUCUAAAAUUAGUGUGUGUGUGUGUGUGUGUGUGUGUGUGUGUGUGUGUGUGUGUAAAGAUGAUAUUUUUGAAAAACACAUGCUUGAGUUGAAAAAAAUAGCAACAUCUCGAGCUCUCAGUGCGACAUUUCCUGGAAAGACAGCAACCUCCCCUUCCCAGGCCCUGGCCCUGGAAAUAAAGAGCUGACUUUUGAUCUG